rnacentral:rRNA from 1 species
GCAAGUCGAACGGUAACAGGAAGCAGCUUGCUGCUUCGCUGACGAGUGGCGGACGGGCGAGUAAUGUCUGGGAAGCUGCCUGAUGGAGGGGGAUAACUACUGGAAACGGUAGCUAAUACCGCAUAAUGUCGCAAGACCAAAGAGGGGGACCUUCGGGCCUCUUGCCAUCGGAUGUGCCCAGAUGGGAUUAGCUUGUUGGUGGGGUAACGGCUCACCAAGGCGACGAUCCCUAGCUGGUCUGAGAGGAUGACCAGCCACACUGGAACUGAGACACGGUCCAGACUCCUACGGGAGGCAGCAGUGGGGAAUAUUGCACAAUGGGCGCAAGCCUGAUGCAGCCAUGCCGCGUGUAUGAAGAAGGCCUUCGGGUUGUGAAGUACUUUCAGCGGGGAGGAAGGGUGUAAAGUUAAUACCUUUGCUCAUUGACGUUACCCGCAGAAGAAGCACCGGCUAACUCCGUGCCAGCAGCCGCGGUAAUACGGAGGGUGCAAGCGUUAAUCGGAAUUACUGGGCGUAAAGCGCACGCAGGCGGUUUGUUAAGUCAGAUGUGAAAUCCCCGGGCUCAACCUGGGAACUGCAUCUGAUACUGGCAAGCUUGAGUCUCGUAGAGGGGGGUAGAAUUCCAGGUGUAGCGGUGAAAUGCGUAGAGAUCUGGAGGAAUACCGGUGGCGAAGGCGGCCCCCUGGACGAAGACUGACGCUCAGGUGCGAAAGCGUGGGGAGCAAACAGGAUUAGAUACCCUGGUAGUCCACGCCGUAAACGAUGUCGACUUGGAGGUUGUGCCCUUGAGGCGUGGCUUCCGGAGCUAACGCGUUAAGUCGACCGCCUGGGGAGUACGGCCGCAAGGUUAAAACUCAAAUGAAUUGACGGGGGCCCGCACAAGCGGUGGAGCAUGUGGUUUAAUUCGAUGCAACGCGAAGAACCUUACCUGGUCUUGACAUCCACGGAAGUUUUCAGAGAUGAGAAUGUGCCUUCGGGAACCGUGAGACAGGUGCUGCAUGGCUGUCGUCAGCUCGUGUUGUGAAAUGUUGGGUUAAGUCCCGCAACGAGCGCAACCCUUAUCCUUUGUUGCCAGCGGUCCGGCCGGGAACUCAAAGGAGACUGCCAGUGAUAAACUGGAGGAAGGUGGGGAUGACGUCAAGUCAUCAUGGCCCUUACGACCAGGGCUACACACGUGCUACAAUGGCGCAUACAAAGAGAAGCGACCUCACGAGAGCAAGCGGACCUCAUAAAGUGCGUCGUAGUCCGGAUUGGAGUCUGCAACUCGACUCCAUGAAGUCGGAAUCGCUAGUAAUCGUGGAUCAGAAUGCCACGGUGAAUACGUUCCCGGGCCUUGUACACACCGCCCGUCACACCAUGGGAGUGGGUUGCAAAAGAAGUAGGUAGCUUAACCUUCGGGAGGGCGCUUACCACUUUGUGAUUCAUGACUGGGGUGAAGUCGUAACAAGGUAACCGUAGGGGAACCUGCGGUUG